UACGUAGGGGGCAAGCGUUAUCCGGAUUUACCGGGUGUAAAGGGAGCGUAGGUGGCAGGGCAAGUCAGAUGUGAAAACCCGGGGCUCAACUCCGGGAGUGCAUUUGAAACUGUCCAGCUAGAGUGCAGGAGAGGUAAGCGGAAUUCCUAGUGUAGCGGUGAAAUGCAUAGAUAUUAGGAGGAACACCAGUGGCGAAGGCGGCUUACUGGACUGUAACUGACACUGAGGCUCGAAAGCGUGGGGAGCAAACAGG
rnacentral:rRNA from 1 species